GGAUUUGUGCCUGAUAAAAAGGGCUACUUUGAUAGAGUAGAUAUAAGGGUGAAAACCCCUUCAACUUCC
rnacentral:tRNA from 1 species